rnacentral:rRNA from 1 species
UACGUAGGGUGCAAGCGUUGUCCGGAAUUAUUGGGCGUAAAGAGCUCGUAGGCGGUCAGUCGCGUCUGCUGUGAAAACUCGGGGCUUAACUCCGGGCCUGCAGUGGGUACGGGCUGACUAGAGUGCGGUAGGGGAGACUGGAAUUCCUGGUGUAGCGGUGAAAUGCGCAGAUAUCAGGAGGAACACCGGUGGCGAAGGCGGGUCUCUGGGCCGUAACUGACGCUGAGGCACGAAGGCCAGGGGAGCAAACGGG